rnacentral:rRNA from 1 species
UACGAAGGGGGCGAGCGUUGUUCGGAUUUACUGGGCGUAAAGGGCGCGCAGGCGGUUCUGUUUGUCGAGUGUGAAAGCCCCGGGCUCAACCUGGGAACUGCGCUCGAAACGGCAGAACUAGAGUUCGGGAGAGGAGAGUGGAAUUCCCAGUGUAGAGGUGAAAUUCGUAGAUAUUGGGAAGAACACCGGUGGCGAAGGCGGCUCUCUGGACCGAUACUGACGCUGAGGCGCGAAAGCGUGGGGAGCAAACAGG